rnacentral:sRNA from 12 species
GUUGCGGAGUGCUAUAUCAACGAGAGUAGCUUCGGCAAAAUCGGGCACUAUGAAACAACGA